GACGAACGCUGGCGGCGUGCUUAACACAUGCAAGUCGAACGGAAAGGCCCUGCUUUCGUGGGGUGAUCGAGUGGCGAACGGGUGAGUAACACGUGAGUAACCUGCCCUAGACUUUGGGAUAACUUCAGGAAACUGGGGCUAAUAUCGUAUAGCAGCCCAUGUUGCAUGGUGGGGGUUGGAAAGUCUCGGCGGGUGGGGAUGGACUCGCGGCUUAUCAGCUUGCUAGUGGGGUAGUGGCUUACCAAGGCUUUGAAGGGUAGCCGGCUUGAGAGGGUGACCGGCCACAUUGGGACUGAGAUACGGACCAGACUCCUACGGGAGGCAGAAGUGGGAAGUAUUGCACAAUGGGCGGAAGCCUGAGGCAGCAACGUCGCGUGCGGGAUGACGGCCUUCGGGUUGUAAACCGCUUUCGCCUGUGACGAAGCGGGAGUGACGGUAAUGAGUAAAGAAGCACCGGCUAACUACGUG
rnacentral:rRNA from 1 species